GCCGGAUUAGCUCAAUGGUAGAGCAGCUGACCUGUAAUCAGCAGGCUGCGGGUUCGAGUCCCGUGUCCGGCUCCA
rnacentral:tRNA from 1 species